rnacentral:tRNA from 1 species
ACUUUAGUAGUUUAAAAAAAAUAUUAUAUUGUGGAGAUAAAGAUGCUAUCUGUUUAAAGUA